CCCUUAGAUGUUCUGGGCCGCACGCGCGCUACACUGAUGCAUUCAACGAGCCUAGCCUUGACCGAGAGGUCCGGGUAAUCUUUGAAACUGCAUCGUGAUGGGGCUAGAUUAUUGCAAUUAUUAAUCUUCAACGAGGAAUGCCUAGUAAGCGUGAUUCAUCAAAUCGCGUUGAUUACGUCCCUGCCCUUUGUACACACCGCCCGUCGUUCCUACCGAUUGAGUGUGUUGGUGAGGAGUUUGGAUUGGCCUCGGAAGGUGGUUCGCCACCGUCCGUAGCUGAGAAGUUCUCCAAACCGCCCCACUUAGAGGAAGGAGAAGUCGUAACA
rnacentral:rRNA from 1 species